UACGUAGGGUGCAAGCGUUGUCCGGAAUUAUUGGGCGUAAAGAGCUCGUAGGCGGUCUGUCGCGUCGGAUGUGAAAAUCCAGGGCUCAACCCUGGACCUGCAGUGGGUACGGGCAGACUAGAGUGCGGUAGGGGAGAUCGGAAUUCCUGGUGUAGCGGUGAAAUGCGCAGAUAUCAGGAGGAACACCGGUGGCGAAGGCGGAGCUCUGGGCCGUAACUGACGCUGAGGAGCGAAAGCAUGGGGAGCGAACAGG
rnacentral:rRNA from 1 species